rnacentral:rRNA from 1 species
UACGGAGGGUGCAAGCGUUAUCCGGAUUCACUGGGCGUAAAGGGCGCGUAGGCGGCCACCGCAAGUCGACUGUGAAAUCUCCGGGCUUAACCCGGAAAGGUCAGCCGAUACUGCGGGGCUAGAGUGCAGAAGGGGCAACUGGAAUUCUCGGUGUAGCGGUGAAAUGCGUAGAUAUCGAGAGGAACACCUGCGGCGAAGGCGGGUUGCUGGGCUGACACUGACGCUGAUGCGCGAAAGCCAGGGGAGCGAACGGG